UGUAUCACCUUGUACACAGCUGUCAACGCAUUCAAACGCGGAUUUAUGGAGGUGCUAUAAAUAUUCGGUGUCAAGCGCAUUUUAUCGCAUUCGCAUUUGAUAUGGUUUAACGCAAAAUUUGAUAUGGUUUAUAUUAGUCGCUUAAAAUGACAGUUGAUAGUCAAUGACAGAUAUCGUGUUUAGACGCCCCGAUAGGUGAAACAUGUAUUGUGAUAACAUGUAAAUAUUGGUUAAAAUAUGUUCGGAGUGACAUUGAAAACAUGUUUUUAUAGAAAAUAUGGAAUUUCGCUUCAUUUAUAUUUUCAAUAGAAUGGAGAAAAAACAACGUGCUGCCUAGUAAGAGUCUCUAUCAAUUCUCUUGAAGAAUCAUCGUUGCGCAAGAUAUUUAUCUGGCUUUUCAAAGCCAAUUCCUUCAUUCUUAAAAUUUUCUUGUCGUGAUUCAAUAAAACACGAUCAUUAAUAAAAAUUAUAAGCUAAUAUUAAAGAUUCUAUGAAUUAUAUGAAGAGAAUGGUAAGUUUCUCGUUGCUCAAAAUUUAAGUAAAUAAAUAAAUUUGUGAACUAUCAAUGAAAACGUAUCGAAAACACAUGAUACACAGAAUACAUAUCCGAAAGUAGUAUUCUCUUAACAAACGAUAAUUCAACUAACUCGAUAUCAUAAAUCAAUCGGCAGUUUCUAAUAAAAUACACAAACAGCUGUUAUAUAGUAGUAUAGCAAUUUUGAAGGCAAAUAUUUGUAAAGUUUAUAAAAAUAGCCAUUUUGAAGUAUAAAAUAUAGAGAUACAAAUACUGUUCCAAUGGAAGAAGUUGAUAAAAUUAUUGUUCAGUCACUAAAUCAGAUCGGUUGUGAUAUCAAUUAUAAUUUUACCAUGUCCGAUUUUACUCCAACACUUUUGGUUUAUACAGUAUCAAAAUGCUUACAAAAAAUUCAACUAUCUUCUACAAAUAUACCAGACGCUCUUCCCGAAGGCCUUGCAAUGGCACAGAGAUUCUCCAUAGCUACUACAUUGUCAUCAAUCAUAUCUAACAUUAACUAUCGUGGUGAUAUUGGAUAUCAAACUUUUUUAUAUCCCAAUGAAGUAGAUGUUCGGAAACUAUUAAUGUUUCUUAUUGAAAAAAUUCCCCGCGAUGAAAAAGCAUCUCCUCUCGAAGUUGGAAGUUUGCCAUGUGAUAUAGACAUAUGGCGAAAAAAUAUUAAAGAAACAAUAUUGGAAGAAUUACACAAACCAUGGGCACCGCAAUUCUGUAGAAAUUUAGCGACUUCAAGAAAUUUUAGGUCUACUGGACAGAUAACAUAUUUCAAACCGCAUCACAACCUGGUUUUUGCUGCUGAAAAAUCGUUAACUUUACAAAAAGGGCAAUGUUCGCAGCACAAAACAAUAACAGUUUUUCAACAAACAGCAACCCAAAAAUUCGACCUAAUAAGCACGAUUUUACAUCAAAAUUCUCUCGAUUUAUAUAUAGGCAAUUCAUUUAUCAAUGAUAAUCAACAAAAAGCUACACCAAAACAAAAUCAACUUGUGUCCAGUCUAUCACAACCGGAAAGUUUGGCCUUAAAAAAUGUAAUAGACAAAUCGCCUAUCAGCAUUCUUACAGAAGAGAUCAAUAGUUAUAAAAAUCAAAACACUAACAUUUUAACAACACGAAAAACGUUAACAAAAAGUAUAAAUUCAAUAAAACACAAACAAGAAGUAACACAAAAUGAAUUGGAAAAUAUGCAGGCAGAAGUCAAAAUACAUGAACGCGCUUGUCUUGUCUUAGAUAAUCCAAAAGAAAACACAACUAAAUUGGAAACUCUUAUUCGAAACACUUUAGAGCGUCGAAAAAAUCUAGAUCAGCAGUGGCACGAAUUUCGUAAGCCAAUGUUGAAUACUAUUGAAGACCUAAGGACUGCUAAACAUUUACUAAAAACUAAGAAUGUGAAAGAAUUUCGAGAAACAAUCAAACAAUUAGAGAAGGUGUUGGAAGAAAAGAAGACUCAACAAAACCAAUUCGCUAUAGAGCUGAGAGUUAAUGGAAAUGAUCGGGCAGCUUCUCGUAAAGAAUAUAUAAAUAGAAUAUUGGAGUUUAUUUCCAAUAUACGUAAGCAAAAAACCGAUAUAUACAAGGUUCUAGAUGACACUCGGGAUUUGCAGAAACAGCUAAACUCUUUAUCUGCCCAACUGCAGCGACAAUUUUGUUACACGGAUGAUCUGCUCUUCCAGACUGCCAAACACGAUGUGCACUCAAAAGUCGCUUACAAACUUCUUGCCACAUUACAUUCCACUUGCAAUGAACUUGUUGAACUCGUUACAAAGACAGGAAAUGUAACUAAUAUAUCACGGGAAAUAGAAGUUCAGAUAGAUCGAGAAAAAACUAAAAAUGUUACUGCCCGUUUACAACAAAUAACAGAAGACAUACACAAUUUUGGUAGUUUAAUUCACAACCUGCGGACAGAAAUACACGAGAUAGAGAAUGAAAUUUCGAAAGCUUGAAUAAUAAAGUGAAACUAUAUAUGUAUAAAAAAUCUAAUUUAAUAUAAAUUAUAUUGGAUGUUAUAUUAUUUUCGAAAAUGUAUUCAUAGACUUAAAAUAAUGGGUAUAUUCCAAUCGCUAGAAAUACACCUUCCUUAAUAUUGGUAUUUAAUUACAAUAGUUUUAAUUUUCAUUACAAAUCUGAUAUUUUGUGGAUCGCAAGUAGAUUAUUUAUUAUUACUAUAUGCACAUUAAAAGAUUUAAAUAAACAAAUAUAUUUCUUUAUUGUUGUUGUACAAGGGUACAUGCUUUUGAAAAUACAAAUUCAUGCUUAUAGAAAGAAGUACAUUUAUUGUUUAUUGCAAUAGCAUAUCCUACUCUUAAAGAAUAUUCCAAUAAUAAUUAAACGGGAUUAGAUAUAAUAUCGUUAAAAAUCAUUGACACCUACAUUUCACUCAUGUCCUAUGUAUGUACAUACUUGUAUGUACAACUGAAAAGCUAAGACCGCCCCUAUUAAUUAUACAUUUAUUUUAUAUUAAAGGCCAACGAAUAUUUUUUUUCCAAAUCAAAUAAAACAUAGUGCAUUGUAAAAAAUGAAAAGACUUUUAAAAGUGACCACUUUCCAAAUACUUUUUGAAGCUUUCAUUACA